rnacentral:rRNA from 1 species
UGCCAGCAGCCGCGGUAAUACAGAGGUCCCGAGCGUUGUUCGGAUUCACUGGGCGUAAAGGGUGUGUAGGAGGCUUGGAAAGUCAACUGUGAAAUCUUCGUGCUCAACGCGAAGCCUGCAGCUGAUACUCCCGAGCUAGAGGAUCGGAGGGGCAAGCGGAAUUCCAGGUGUAGCAGUGAAAUGCGUAGAUAUCUGGAGGAACACCGGUGGCGAAGGCGGCUUGCUAGACGAUUCCUGACUCUGAAACACGAAAGCUGGGGGAGCAAACGGGAUUAGAUA